GCCUUAGGGUCGUAAAGCUCUUUCGCUGGGGAAGAUAAUGACUGUACCCAGUAAAGAAACCCCGGCUAACUCCGUGCCAGCAGCCGCGGUAAUACGGAGGGGGUUAGCGUUGUUCGGAAUUACUGGGCGUAAAGCGCGCGUAGGCGGAUUGGAAAGUUGGGGGUGAAAUCCCGGGGCUCAACCUCGGAACUGCCUCCAAAACUCCCAGUCUUGAGUUCGAGAGAGGUGAGUGGAACUCCGAGUGUAGAGGUGAAAUUCGUAGAUAUUCGGAAGAACACCAGUGGCGAAGGCGGCUCACUGGCUCGAUACUGACGCUGAGGUGCGAAAGUGUGGGGAGCAAACAGGAUUAGAUACCCUGGUAGUCCACACCGUAAACGAUGAAUGCCAGUCGUCGGCAAGCAUGCUUGUCGGUGACACACCUAACGGAUUAAGCAUUCCGCCUGGGGAGUACGGUCGCAAGAUUAAAACUCAAAGGAAUUGA
rnacentral:rRNA from 1 species